AGCUUUGCCUGGUGGCAGUAUCAUAGCCAAUGAGGUUUAUCCGAGGUGCGAUUAUUGCUACUUGAAAAAUUAUAUCACAGUACACUAGAAUGGAUUGGGGACGAUUAUUAGCUUUGCUAUAAUUAUUGGAGCUUCUGUAAGGGA